UACAGGGGGUGCUAGCGUUGUUCGGAAUUACUGGGCGUAAAGGGCGCGUAGGCGGUUUCGCAAGUCAGAAGUGAAAUCCUGGAGCUUAACUCCAGAACUGCUUCUGAUACUGCGAGGCUAGAGUGUAUUAGAGGAUGGCGGAAUUCCUAGUGUAGUGGUGAAAUACGUAGAUAUUAGGAAGAACACCGGUGGCGAAGGCGGCCAUCUGGGAUACAACUGACGCUGAGGCGCGAAAGCGUGGGGAUCAAACAGG
rnacentral:rRNA from 1 species